rnacentral:lncRNA from 1 species
CACUCACAGAUAAUAAAUACAGUACCUACAAAUAUUUGAAGCGAAUCCCAUCAUGUUCAAAUUAUAUACAACUAAUUUCAGACACCCUACAUAUUUGCAUCUUUGAUGAGUUUUAUCCGAUUCUCUUUUUCAAUGUUUGUGAAAGAAUUUAUGCAGUGGUAGUAGGGGUGUUUAGAAGCUUCAUCAUGAAGUUGAACUUCACAUCGGGUGCGGUCUUCGGCUGGGGCCAGUUUGCUCCUUCCGACACCUUAAUGCAUCUGAAACCCUGGUCUUUGUACAGUUUUUUUGCACCGGGGUUGUUCAAAUCGCAGUGCAAUGCAACGGCACGGAAGCCCCAGCUCUUUGCUUGAGCUUCAGCCUUGGCUAUGAGCCUUUUAGCUAUUCCCUUACAGCGGAAUCUCUCCCGAACUGCAACAUUUGAUAUGUAUGCAAUUCCAGUCCUGUGAUAAAGAUGCUCAAGUGUGUUAUUUAAUAAUCACAAGAUUAAUAAUUAGAGUACUUUCUGCAUGUAAAGAGUCAACUUCAAUGAACAAAACAAUGAACACCGAUAUAUAAUGGUAAGAACGUCCAGCAGGUCUAAUCUUACUAUAAUUGGUUAAAACUGGAACUGUAUCAUCUGCAGAACACCAAUACAUAAGGUCUUGAAUUAAGAACUGUCUUCAGCCCUCUUAACUCGAGGUGAUAUAUAAGGCUCCGAGUUAAGAACUGUGACUUGACAGAGGUUCAUGCCGUCUCACCUCACUGUCCGUUUUUCUGCCCUCUCACAAUCGUUUGCCGGUAUAUUUUCUGUCCUAGCCAGAAAACUCUGAUUACUUUCACUAAAUAAGAUUAAUGGAGAAAGGAGGUUUAAAUGAGUUCUCUUAUCCCCAUAGGCUUUAACAGGCAUCAAUAGUCGCAUAGAACCAUUCUUCAAUAAUGAACCUCUGGCCUUGUGCCGGAAAUUUAGUUUUCAAGACACCGACACCAGGCAUCCUUACCAACUAUUGAUUGUAUGUAUGUUACUGUUGGAACUAAGAAAACAGAAUGAGAAAUUCGACAGAAACUUAAGCAAGAAGCAUCGAUGUCUUGCUGAACAAACAAGAGAAUUCAGCUUAAGAACUUUGAGUAAAAUGCUUAAGUAAAGACCAGAAAAAAUGAAGAAGAAUUUCUGAAAGAUUUCAUUAGAAAUGAAUUGAGGCAUAAAGCCAUUACAUAUACCAGUAAUUCAGCUGGUCAAAAUGAAAACAAAGUCACCUAAACAUUUACCUAACUCCACUAAUAAUCUAGUAACUUGUUAAACAUAACUUGCACACUUGGUAAAGUUGAUUUAUCAGCUCAAACAUCACCUAAUUACAUCAAGUACAUUAACAACUUAGUUCUAAUCUAACUAAGUUACAAAACAUCAUUUGAAAGAAACAAAACAAAACAGCAGCAUGAGCUUCAGCUGCAAUUGCAUGGCUCGGCAGCUUGGUCUGCUUCUUUGUCUGCAUGCAGGCCAACUUCAACAGUUACCAAAUGAAAAUAUCGAGAACGGAAAGACAACAUAAUUUAUGUAGAAACUUUGCUAGGUUCACUCGGACUCUCAUUGCUUAUGAGCUGAAAAAUAAAAACUCAGUACAAAAAGAACCGAUUAAAAUGGAGAAAACCUUUCUUUUUCCAUUCCUGGCAUUUUGGUAUGAAGGGGUAGACAAAGGGUUUGGUUUAGCAAACCAGGUUGGACUAAAAUAGUCUGCUAAUGGUCCUGAAAGCCUUAUUUCAAACUAGAACACACUGUCCAUAAGUUGUUAAUGGAUUCCAAAGACAGGACAUGUAAGUUGUUUAUUGAUAACAUUAAUGGGGUGACAUGCAAAAUGUAAAUUAAAGAAACAAAGACAAAGCUAUGGUAAAUUUGAUGAGCUGCAUUUACGCAAACAUAAAACCGAAAAUUUUCAGACUGUCAUUUUGCAUCCGAAGUAUUUAACGUUUAACGAAACAAGUUUCUUAUAGAGUAAGUUUCAAGCGGCAUGUCUGUAUUAAAUGACAUUAAACUAGUAUAGAAGAGCAGCCAAUAAUUACACUCACCUUCUCUGUCGAAGUGGUCCUUUUCUAGGAAGAAAAUCGGCAACGGUAUCGAUAGUUAAUAUACCAGUCACAUACCCUUUAUUAAGACUGAAUUUUCCGUCGAAACCUCCGAUUUUGAAAUCUUCAGUUCCAAAUAAAAACGUAUCACCAACUGAACCACCAAUGACAGCAACCAAACAAGUUCUCCGGCAACCAGGAGGAAUAGAGAAUCUUGACAGCAUCCCCACCAGUCUAUCAACUCGUAGCACGAAAUCCAAAGGGAAGGAAUAUUCGGGGAAGAACGAGCUGCAGUGAGUCUCAGCUACUUCCCAACAAUCCUCUAACCGUGCCUCUCGAACAACAAUCUCGGGAGACACGGUCGGAAAGAGAUCGACAACUUGAGUAGCUCUACAUGCUCCUACAAACAAAUAUAAUCCACCUUUCUCAACAAAAAUGACCUCUAAUCAUAGCAAUUUCACUUUUAUGAUUCUUUUUAUCCAUAUAAUAGACAAUCAAACAUGAACUACCUGUUGAAUGUCCAGUCAAAAAAAGAAAUAAACCCAGAUUCCAUCACUACCAACCUUCCAUAAAAAAGGAAUCGUUCAUAAAUUCCAUAAAAGAGGACACCUAUAGUCAAAGCCAAUUGGCAAAUUCAAAGCAAACAACAAAAAAUACCCAAAUCCAAUAAAUUCAUGUACAACUAAAUUCACAUGUAGACAAAUGCCAAAAACCAAUUUUUGUAUUGAAAAGCAAAAGAAAGGAAUAAUCUUUGACAUGGGUUAAAUCCAUUUUCAUAAAAAAAUUCUAAAAAUACCCAUUAAAGAUAGAAUCUUUACCAAAUCUUAUCAAUUAGGAUACUAAAUUAACAGUGUGACUUCAGACAGACUUACUUCAUUCACUGAAAAGAAACUUGGUACGACACAAACGGAAUUGACAUGUAUAUACUUGCUUUGCCUCUUCUAGAGCAAACUCAUAGACUCAAUUUCUUUUAGGGGGAAAGCACCAUAGAUGCAAAAGAGGCUAUAAGAAUGUCAUUGACGAGGCGAUUCGAUUGGUAAGUUUCAUAUUCUUUUACCUUAGCUUUUCAAUAUUUAUAUCAGUUAUAGUUCCGUUGGUAGAGUGCUAUCGAAAUAAGUGAAUGGGAUGUCAACAACUUAGCAUGAAUCAUUUCGCCCGAUUACUAGUGCUGAUCAUUAGUCCAUUGCCAUUUACAAAUGUAGAUAGACUUUAAUCGACACUAUUUUCCAACAUUAGUCAUUGAUGAAAUUCUUUUUUUGUUUUCAUCCUUUAGAAUAUCCAUUCUUAAUCAUGUUAUCAUUCGGUACCGAAGAUCCUUGUCACCUAUUUACACCAUGGCCCAUCGUCUCGUCGAACUUUCAGUUCUUUCUUACCUGUACUGAAGUAAAAUAAUUACUGACAGAACUCUAUUGGAGAGGAAUACCAUCUAGCUAUAGAAACCAGUGGCCAUGGAGAUCUCAAAGAGAAUGACUGGCUUGAUGAUGGGGCGUACUUGAUGGUAAGCUGUUUAAUUUUAUGUUGCAGAGAGGCCUAUUCUUGCAUGUAUUAGGUUGGCCCAUACAUAUCAACGAAAACAUCGACUUAAUAUACACAUCGACUUGUCCAUCUCAUACAAUUCCAUUUGACCUUCUGCUGAGUGCAGGUCAAACUCCUAAAUAAACUUGCUUCAGCAAGGGCUUCCGGCAAAGGUGUUGGAAGCAAAGUUUUAACCGAUCUGGUCGAGGGUCUGGAGGAACCAGCUAUUGCUGUGGAGCUGCGAAUAAAGAUAAAUCAGAAUCAUCCCGAUCUUAAAGGACGGUAUGGUGCACUAUAUUGCUCUGAUCUUUUUAUGUCCGCAUAAUUUCUGUUAAAGUUGCUGACAGUUAGAACCUCACAGAUCCUUCCGGAAAUACGGAGAAGCAGUGCUGCAACACUUGGGAAACUCCAUUGCUUCAAACCCCAAGCUUCAGAAGGCAGCUGUGAACUAUGAAGGGGUAACUAGAAGUUAGGUAUAAGCUUUCUUUCACCACCUUACGGAAACAGGUUUUGCUAACUCCCUUUGAAAACAGGUUCGAGUUUCCGGGUUCGGAGGGUGGUUUCUCCUUAGGCUUUCACUUCAUGAUCCCGUCCUUCCUCUUAACAUCGAGGUAUGAAUGUAGUAUGCAAAAAAUUUCAUAAGUUGUCAUAAGCAUUGUAAUUCACUGAUUCGAUACUGCUAUGAACAACACGUGUUGUAGGCGCCAAGCCAUGAAGAUGCAGUGAAACUCGGACACGAAGUAGCUGCUGCAGUGAAGGAAUUUCAAGCAUUGGACACAUCUGCUUUAGACAAAUUUGUCCAACCUUAAUGACACUGAAUGGGUCGUGCCUUUCAGCAUUUGAGUAUUGUGUUCCAAUGGCUGCCUCUUUUGCUAUGAGUUGUCAUUGUAGUUUUGAGGUUGAGGAAGUUUGUAUUUUUUUUUUGGUUAGGAGGGAUGUUACUUGAAAACAAUAAUAGAGAUAAGUCUGAAGAGAUAUAUAUAUAUAUAUAUAUAUGUAUAUAUCCAAUCUUAACAGUAACAUCCAUGGUUUUACUUACUCCUAUGUUUGUUUUGUUUCACUAUAUUACAGAAUAUUAAUAUUAUAUAUUUAUAAUUAAGUUUGAAUUAUAUUUAUUUUGCAUUCGGAUACUUGGGUGAAAUACUUUUUUCUUCAUAUAUUUCAAAUUUAGUUUUUUUUUUCUAUUUUUAAUGUCAGAAAUUUAGUAUCCUAAUUGAUAAGAUUGUGAAAUAACUUCUGCUAAUAAAUUAUGUCACAUUUUAAAACCAAAAAAAUUUUCUUACAUGAAUUUAAAACUAUGCAAGAAUGUUGAAUUAUUCUCUUGAAUCUCAUCUUUUUUUUAUCAUAAAUGAUCUGUUUGUCCUGAAAUGACCUGCCCAAUAGAGAAAUCUCAAUUCAUUGGGCCUUUCGAUACAAUCAAAUAGAAAGCCUGAAGGGCGCCAUAUCUUAGGAGCCCAAACUAUGUGAUUGAAUAAAUCCUCCUCUAUCUGUUGCAAGUCGAGUACUCCUUCUCCUUCCCCUUCUUCAGACUCCGAUUUGUAUUUUUCAUAGAGAUUUCUCUGAUCAACGAUAGAACAAGAUCCAUUUUGCAUCAUAUAUAAGGGAUUCCCUGGCUCAGAUCGAAGAAGCAAUGUCACUCAAUCAUUAUCAAAUUGACCGCAAUCUUGAGGAUCCCACCAGAACACCUUCUACUUCUAAUAGGCCAUGAACUAGAUUAGAAUCAUUCUCAACGAACCCAUAAGAAGUGAUCCCAUUUAUUUCAUUGAGUCCGGGUAGAGACCAAAGGUCUUGAGCGACCGAUUUGGCAGAACAACUCAAAAGAUAAAGAAGUGUCGUUAAUUUCUUUAUGUUUGUUCCAAGCUUGAAGUACCAUUUGUACAAAUAAGAAUCUCCUUCGUUACAUGAUUUCUUCUUCAUAUAGAUAGAUAUAGGAUCUAAGGGGCAAUUACUUAUAAGCACAUUUUGUACAACAAUCCUUCCUAUCUGAUAGAAAAGGAUCCCAUGAUCCUGAACUAAUCUUACCUAGGAUCGUAAAUCCCAAGUUUGUCUACGAAGAGCAGAUCUAAUUGUAUUAGUAUCUAUAAUUGAUUUCUUCUGUGUAAUACUAAUCGAUAGGGCCUCAUUGUUAAGUGCUACAAGAUCUCGUACAUUGGAAUCCACGGUAAUAGACUCAAACCCAUUAGUAUGAAACAUUUUCUUUUUCAUUUAAAACCAAAAACCUUACAAUAUCAUAUUCAAUAUUUUUAUUUGCUUAUUUAGCAUAUGCCAAGUGUCACCUAAUCUAAUUUAACAGAAGUUAUGCUAUACUUUAAUUAUUAAAUAAAAAAUAAAAUUUUAACUAUUAAAUAAAAAAAAUAUAAAGAUUAAAUUCUUGAAAUUAAAAAUAAAUAGAGUAAAUUUCAAAUGUUAGAAGAAUGUAGGUACUUGGAACAAGAUUAGACCAAUAUUUAAGAAAAGUAAAGCCCUACAUGAAAUCAAUUUCUCCUUAAUAAUCUUUCAACUUUAAUUAUUCCACCUAAUUAAAUAAUAAUGACGCUAAAGUAAACUAUUAACCCUAAUUAUUCUAACUCUUUAUGUUAAAUAAAUAAAUAAAUAAAAUUAAUUAAUAAUAAAAUAAAAUAUAAAUUUUAGGGUUUAGGAUUAUUUCGAGAUUUGAAUAGAGAUACAAAAAUUAAUGGUAUUUAAUUUGGUGUUGAUUGAUGUAUGAUAUUACUAAUAAAGUCUAAACAAAUACAAUGCAAUAAUGCCUUGAAAAAUAACAUUUAACAUUAUCCUAAUCCAUAUUAAACUCAUAUAAGAUAUAUAAAUAAUUGUGUAACACUAACAUUGUUGGAUUAAAAUAUUACUUUCCUAGCAAGUAAAGGAUUAGGAAACGAUCCCUAUAAAAAAAAAACCCCUAUUUACCGCUUGAUCCAAGUUAUCUGAUUUAGAAUAUUACGAAAAUCUUUCAACAUGGCAGACACCAUGAGUUUAAUCAUCAUGUAUGCAUUGGUUGCAUUAUGGGGACUCAUUAUUGUACUGAUUAUGAUACUUAUGGUUGUCCUUUGUUUUCGCAUGGAUUCUUCCAACCGACAUCCCGAAAAUGGGGUAUCCAACUAUCCGAUAGCUGAACAGGGCAUGCAAGGACCACCAUUGCAGAAGCAGUUUAAAGAAGCUUCAAGGCCGAUCAUGGUCGGGACCGUUGUUCAGUACAAGAACGAAGAAGGAACUGAAUCGCGUUGCACCGAGUGUGUCAUAUGCUUAGAAGAGUUCAAAGAUGGAGAUUCUUGUAGGGUUCUUACAAACUGCAACCAUCUGUAUCAUCAACUUUGCAUGGAUGAAUUGCUGGUUAGGAACUCGCAUUGCCCCCUUUGUCGUGGUUCGACCAUGUAACCAUGUAUUUUUUAUUAUUUUGAAGUAUUUAUCCGGACAUGAGUAUCAGGAUAUGAUUACUCUUUAAAUAUAGAAAUUCAUUUAGAAAAGAUUAAACGUAUCUAUAACCGACACUCACAGAUAAUAAAUACAGUAACUACAAAUAUUUGAAGCGAAUCCCAUCAGGUUCAAACUAUAUACAACUAAUUUCAGACAUCCUACAUAUUUGCAUCUUUGAUGAGUUUUAUCCGAUUCUCUUUUUCAAUGUUUGUGAAAGAAUUUAUGCAGUGGUAGUAGGGGUGUUUAGAAGCUUCAUCAUGAAGUUGAACUUCAC